ensembl:lncRNA
CUCGAGAUGUGCGCCAAAAUGUAAAAAAAACAAAGCUAUUAGUUUCACCGUCAGGAAUUCCGUUACUUUGCUGAUUAGUGCGGAGGGACGCGGCCUCUUUUCCCAUCACAGAGUGUGGAACCGCAACGAUACGAACAAUCCCAACAAUUCCACAGUUAAAGAAUAUGUAUGCACAGAUAGCUAAUAAUGCAUAACUGCAAACAACAGGACGACAAUGCCAUGUCCAUUCCGUAGGCUCUGGUGUCUUCACUGUGUGUGUGUGUGUCUCACUCACUUGUCAGUGUGAACAGACACAUUGUCAAUUUAGUCUAUAUCUGUCCACAGACUUCACACUUACCGAAAGCAUUCGUCUAGCUAGAAGGUCAUCGCUGCAGAGUGCAAGUCCAAACGACACACACACACACACACACACACACACAGAAGUGUAUUAGAGUAUUAAAACCCUGCCUUUCCGAAACAACCUUUUCUCAUUCGUUAAUUCGUUUCAAACAUAAUCAAAUGUCUUUACUUCUCUCCUCUUAUCACUAUAAUAUAAGCAUCCUUAAAAGAAUAGUAGUGAUGCUGGAUUAAAAAAAAAAAAAAGAAAAAAAAAAGUGCCAAAUAUGAAAACACAAACAUUGUGGCUUUCAGCACUUGGAGCACGCAGCAGAUGGAGAAGUGCAGAAAUGUUUAUCUGAUGGCUUUUUAAACAUUAAGGACGCUGUGUGGAUUCGGAGAUUGAUAACGUGAUGUAUACAUACGGGAAAAGCCGCACUUAAGUGCGUGGCCCCAAUAAAAGCCUAUCUAACCGAGCCGCGUCAUUGGCUUCCAGUGGGUGAGAAUGGUAUUAAAGAAGGGAUCAGGGAAGACUUGGCAACCUGAAGCCCUUUAAGUAAACAAACAGCUGCAUUUGUUAGCAAUCCGGUGUCAGAGAGGUAUUCUAAACAGCCAGAGACUGAUGGGGAGAACUGUGGGGCAGUUUGGGAGAGAGAGAGAGAGAGAGAGAGAGAGAGAGAGAGGUGGAGAGGGAGAGAUGAGAGCUAUUGCUGUGACAUCAAAUCUCAUUUUGCUAGCCUCUCUCUCUCUCUGCUUUGUCUUCUGCUUCUCUGCUUGGUCAGCGAUCGGCUAUAGAAAUAUUUUGGCAGGCUCGCUCUUUGUUUUCAUUUCACAAAAAGAUGGAGAGAGGUAGGGUAGAGGGUUGAACACAUACUUGCCUGCAUGUCUCUCUCUCUCUCUCUCUCUCUCUCUCCCUCUUUCUCUCUGUUGCUCUCGCUCUUUCUUUUCAAUCUAAACAGCGGGAGGAAGUUAUAAAUCACGGUAAUGCACUCAGUUGUAAUUCAGACCAGCAGGGAGAAAACACACACACAGAACGCAUAUGUACACAUAACACAAGAGCACACACACACACACACACACACACACACACACACACCCCUCCCUGAAAAUGGCAGGAGUUUACCGGCAGCAUGGCGGCUCUUUAAUCAGUGAAAAUGAGCCGAUGAUAUGAAAUCCCCAAUCACAGCCAAUCAGCAGGCUUCCUGUCAGUCACAGUGGACUGCAAACUUCAAUCAGAGUCUUGUAAAAUGAGUUAAGUCCAGUCUGUCUACACACACCUGCUGUCCUGCCUUUGAUCAAAUUAUAUAAUCCUACGAUCCCUCAGGUGUGUUAUACAAGACGUCAGUCAAUGGACGUCUAGGCUGCUGUGUCCUGAUCGGUGAAAUCAGUAUUCCACUAUUAAAGACAUGAACAUGAACAGGCUGGCCAUUUACACAGAGGUCACUUCGAUGUUUUAGUGGGUAUAGAGCUGGGUCGUGGAACAGCUUCUACAGUACACAAAGAAAGGGAUCCCCCCCCCCCCCCCCACUACUCUUUUUGGAACCAGAAACCUGCAACUGCAUCUUUUCCACUGACCAGCAGUCCUUCAGCAAACGUCACAAGCGUUAGGUUUCGAGUACCUGUUCACGAUGGAACAAAAUGACUGUCGAGGAUUCACUGCUCAGGGUGAGAAGUUACACGUACUAUGUCAUAAAGACAUAAACGAACAACAAAAAAAAAGAAGAAGAGAUAAACAAGUCACCUAUAUACAAGCGCUACCAGUGCAAACAGUGGUUUCUAUGGCACCAAUGCAGUAUAAACAAAUAGUAAAAUGAUUUCCUGAGGUUUCUGAUCAUUUACAGAAGUUGUAUCAGCGUCACAGUCGGGGAUCAGACAUGAAACUAAUCUUUUCAUUGAAAAUAAUCGUAAAUGCCAACAAAAUCAUUCUAAAUUGUUCCGGAAAAUAUUAUUUGAAAAAGUGCUCCAUCGAUUACCAGCACUAUUUUCCAAGAAAUUUCAGCUUAAACCUAAACAAUUUCCCAAUAGGCAUAAAAUUCUCUAUAGAAUUCAUCACUUCCUGCAUGCCUGGCUACAGGAAUAUACACUGAUCGGAACUUUAAAACCACCUGCCUAAUAUUGUGUAGGCCCCCCUCGUGCCGCCAAAACGGCUCCGACCCGUCGAGGCGUGGACUCCACAAGACCUCUGAAGAUGUGCUGUGGUGUCUGGCAGCCAGAUCAUUUAAGUCCUGUAAGUUGUGAGGUGACCCCCAGACGCUUGAUCAGACUGAUCAGACCUUGAACUCUUUGUCAUGUUCCUCAAACCAUUCCUGAACCAUUUUUGCCGUGUGACGGGGCGUAUUAUCUCGCCGAAAACGGGCACUGCUAUUAGGGAAUACCGUUGCUAUGAAGGUGUGUACUCGGUCUGCAGCAAUGUUUAUGUAGGUGGUAUGUGUCAAAGCAACAUCCACAUGAACACCAGGACCCAAGGUUUCUCAGCAGAACAUUGCGCAGAGUAUCACACUUCCUCCACCGGCUUGCCUUCUUCCCAUAGUGCAUCCUAGUGCCAUCUCUUAACCGGGUAAGCACACGCACCCGGCCAUCAUGAUUCAUCAGACCAGGCCACCUUCUUCCAUUGCUCCAUGCUCCAGUUCUGAUGCUCACGUGCCCAUUGUAGGCGCUUUCAUUGGUGGACGGGGGUCUGCAUGGGCGCUCUGACGGGUCUGCAGCUACGCAGCCCCAUACGCAGCAACCUGUGAUGCACUGUGUGUUCUGACACCUGUCUAUCAUAGCUAGCAGUAACUUUCUCAGCAAUUUGUGCUACUGUAGCUCUUCUGUGGGAUCGGACCACACGAGCUAACCUUCACUCCCCACACGCAUCAGUGAGUCGUGGGUGGCAGUGACCCUGUCGCCAGUUCACCGGAUGUCCUUCCUUCGACCACUGUUCAUAGGUUCUAUCCACUGCAUACCAGGAACACCCCACAAGACCUGCCGUUUUGCAGACGCUCUGACCCAGUCGUCUAGCCAUCACAAUUUGGCCCUCGUCAAAGUCGCUCAGAUCCUUACACUUGCCCAUUUUCCCUGCUUCCGACACGUCAACUACGAGAACUGACUGUUCACUUGCUGCCUAGUAUAUCCCACCGCUUAACAGGUGCCACUGUAACGAGAUAAUCAAUGCUGUUCACUUCACCUGCCAGUGGUUUUAAUGUUACAGCUGAUCGGAGUAUGAUAUUAGACAGACGCUAUUGGCAGGUUGGCGAGGCAAACGUGCUAACCACUAAGCUAACCUCAAUCCAACUAAACAGGGCGGCGUGAUAAGCAGGAACAGGAACAUACAAAUAUGAAUGGUUUCGAAUUCCUGAUCGCAGUACUCCAGCUUUCUCUCGGGUUGGUAAGAAAUGAACUAGGACCUGCUGGUUCUUCUUCGGAUCAGUCCUUCUAUUUCAACGUGCCGCGUAAAAACGAUAGAAGAAAAGAAAUCGCGCCGGUGCAAACCAUUCGGCUCGAAGGGGAUUCGAAAUAAGUACAGAAAAGCAGUAUUAAACGCUUCCUGGACGUUUUGGUGAUGAAUGUUGUACAUAAUUUAAUGGGCCACAUUUACAUUCGGAAAAUAUUUCGUGACCAGUUUGCACUCCUGUGACCUUUUGGAAGCACACGGUUAAACAAUCUUAAUUCAUCCACCAUCAGUGAUCGAGGCCGCCGGACUUCCAGCUUGCAGUGAUCUCAUCGGCGUGGUUUUCUCUCGUCACCGAUAUAUAAAGUGCCAGCCAACGUUAGCGGCUGCUAGGUCACGUAAACUGAAUUUAUGAUCU